rnacentral:rRNA from 1 species
GUGGGGAAUAUUGGACAAUGGGGGGAACCCUGAUCCAGCCAUGCCGCGUGUGUGAAGAAGGCCUUUUGGUUGUAAAGCACUUUAAGCGAGGAGGAGGCUACCGAGAUUAAUACUCUUGGAUAGUGGACGUUACUCGCAGAAUAAGCACCGGCUAACUCUGUGCCAGCAGCCGCGGUAAUACAGAGGGUGCAAGCGUUAAUCGGAUUUACUGGGCGUAAAGCGCGCGUAGGUGGCCAAUUAAGUCAAAUGUGAAAUCCCCGAGCUUAACUUGGGAAUUGCAUUCGAUACUGGUUGGCUAGAGUAUGGGAGAGGAUGGUAGAAUACCAGGUGUAGCGGUGAAAUGCGUAGAGAUCUGGAGGAAUACCGAUGGCGAAGGCAGCCAUCUGGCCUAAUACUGACACUGAGGUGCGAAAGCAUGGGGAGCAAACAGGAUUAGAAACCCGAGUAGUCC